GUUUUACAUAAGGUCCCGUUAAAUUAGUCUAGUAAGGGAACUAGACAGAGAGAUAUAUGUAUUUCUAGUAAGUGAACUAGAGAAGGUCUAAUAAGAGAAUUAGACAGAUAAAGUCUAUAAAGUGAUAUAGACAGAGAAUUUAGUAUAUAAGUGAAUAUACUAUGAUAGUGUGCACAGAGUUUCAGGUUCACCUUGUCCACCCUCUAAUUGUCAUUAGUUAAGUCUGGUUGUGAGUGUGAAUAAGUGUUUGAAAGAUUUGUCCUAGGAAUGGGAAAUUACCAUGCAAGAAUAUGAAGUAGUUAACUUUUCUUGUUCAUAUGUAUUUUAUGCUUAAAUAAGGUUUAUAAUCAUUAGUGCUGACUGUAAGGAUAUGAAAUAGUUAAACUCUUUUUGCUUUAUAUGCUAACCCUGAAAAUAUACUCACUGAGAAUCUUGUUAAAGCACAUUUGUAGUGUCCAUGUCUUUAUUGCAAACAAUGAUUCUCCAUCAAUUGGGUGAUUGUCUAUAUUGGGGACACACUUUGGUAAGUUAGUAGUGUGUCCACCCUGAGUCAGCAGUAUGGGAAAUGUGAGUUCAGGUCCUGAGUGACCAAUAUAUAUACAUAAGAUACCAGUACUGUAUAUUAGAAAAGAACUGACUCGCAGGUUGUACCUACUUAAAUCUUUUGUUUUAUUCUUUCUGUUGCAUAGAAGUAUAAGUUUAUUACUCUGUUUUAUUGCAAGUUAUUUCACAUGGGAUCUGUGUGCCUGGUAUGAUUGUUACUUUAAUACCAUAAGCCCACUACACUUUCUACGAGAGUGGGAUAGUGUAAAUGUGUUGCAUUGUUUGCAUGAUGAGCUCAGUAUUUUUAUAACUGAGACAAAAAGUCACAUCAUUAGUAUUUGAAAGUUAAUUCCCCAUAUGGGAUUAAUUGUAUAGAAC